UACGUAGGGGGCUAGCGUUGUCCGGAAUCAUUGGGCGUAAAGCGCGCGUAGGCGGCCAGAUAAGUCCGGUGUGAAAGUCACAGGCUCAACCUGUGAAUGCCGCUGGAAACUGUCUGGCUUGAGUCCGGAAGGGGCGAGUGGAAUCCUGGUGUAGCGGUGAAAUGCGCAGAUAUCAGGAGGAACACCAAUGGCGAAGGCAGCUCGCUGGAACGGUACUGACGCUGAGGCGACGAAAGCGUGGGGAGCGAACAGG
rnacentral:rRNA from 1 species